CCAAGGAGUGCAACAUGCAUGCGAGUCUUGGGGUGGAAAACCCAUCGGCGCAAUGAAAGUGAAGGUAGAUGUUGGUCUACUGAGGCAAGAGCCUUUCAGGAGGCACAUUGUCGACCGAUCCCAGGCUACGCUGUAGUGGGAUUUGAGUGAGAGCGUGCCUGUUGCGACCCGAAAGAUGGUGAACUAUGCCUGAAUAGGGCGAAGCCAGAGGAAACUCUGGUGGARGCUCGUAGCGAUUCUGACGUGCAAAUCGAUCGUCAAAUUUGGGUAUAGGGGCGAAAGACUAAUCGAACCAUCUAGUAGCUGGUUCCCUCCGAAGUUUCCCUCAGGAUAGCUGGAGCCCGGUGCAGUUUUAUCAGGUAAAGCGAAUGAUUAGAGGUCUUGGGGUUGAAACAACCUCAACCUAUUCUCAAACUUUAAAUGGGUAAGAAGCUCGGCUUGCUUAACUGAAGUCGGGCACUGAAUGCCGGGGCUCCUAGUGGGCCAUUUUUGGUAAGCAGAACUGGCGAUGCGGGAUGCACCGAACGCUGGGUUAAGGUGCCCGAGUCGACGCUCAUCAGAUACCAUGAAAGGU
rnacentral:rRNA from 1 species